GGGUAUAGACCCGAAACCCGGUGAUCUAGCCAUGGGCAGGUUGAAGGUUGGGUAACACUAACUGGAGGACCGAACCGACUAAUGUUGAAAAAUUAGCGGAUGACCUGUGGCUGGGGGUGAAAGGCCAAUCAAACCGGGAGAUAGCUGGUUCUCCCCGAAAGCUAUUUAGGUAGCGCCUCGUGAAUUCAUCUCCGGGGGUAGAGCACUGUUUCGGCUAGGGGGCCAUCCCGGCUUACCAACCCGAUGCAAACUGCGAAUACCGGAGAAUGUUAUCACGGGAGACACACGGCGGGUGCUAACGUCCGUCGUGAAGAGGGAAACAACCCAGACCGCCAGCUAAGGUCCCAAAGUCAUGGUUAAGUGGGAAACGAUGUGGGAAGGCCCAGACAGCCAGGAUGUUGGCUUAGAAGCAGCCAUCAUUUAAAGAAAGCGUAAUAGCUCACUGGUCGAGUCGGCCUGCGCGGAAGAUGUAACGGGGCUAAACCAUGCACCGAAGCUGCGGCAGCGACGCUUAUGCGUUGUUGGGUAGGGGAGCGUUCUGUAAGCCUGUGAAGGUGGCCUGUGAGGGUUGCUGGAGGUAUCAGAAGUGCGAAUGCUGACAUAAGUAACGAUAAAGCGGGUGAAAAGCCCGCUCGCCGGAAGACCAAGGGUUCCUGUCCAACGUUAAUCGGGGCAGGGUGAGUCGACCCCUAAGGCGAGGCCGAAAGGCGUAGUCGAUGGGAAACGGGUUAAUAUUCCCGUACUUGGUGUUACUGCGAAGGGGGGACGGAGAAGGCUAUGUUGGCCGGGCGACGGUUGUCCCGGUUUAAGCGUGUAGGUGUGUGUUCCAGGUAAAUCCGGUUCACUUUAACACUGAGGCGUGAUGACGAGGCACUACGGUGCUGAAGUAACAAAUGCCCUGCUUCCAGGAAAAGCCUCUAAGCAUCAGGUAACAUCAAAUCGUACCCCAAACCGACACAGGUGGUCAGGUAGAGAAUACCAAGGCGCUUGAGAGAACUCGGGUGAAGGAACUAGGCAAAAUGGUGCCGUAACUUCGGGAGAAGGCACGCUGACAC
rnacentral:rRNA from 1 species